rnacentral:rRNA from 1 species
GAGCUCAAAUUUGAAAUCUGGUAGCCUUCGGUUGCCCGAGUUGUAAUCUAGAGAAGUGUUUUCCGCGUUGGCCCAUGUACAAGUCCCUUGGAACAGGGCGUCAUAGAGGGUGAGAAUCCCGUCCUUGACAUGGACCCCCAAUGCUUUGUGAUACACUUUCAACGAGUCGAGUUGUUUGGGAAUGCAGCUCAAAAUGGGUGGUGAAUUCCAUCUAAAGCUAAAUAUUGGCGAGAGACCGAUAGCGAACAAGUACCGUGAGGGAAAGAUGAAAAGCACUUUGGAAAGAGAGUUAAACAGUACGUGAAAUUGUUGAAAGGGAAACGAUUGAAGUCAGUCAUGCUCUUUGGAUUAAGCCGUUCUGCGGUGUAUUUCAUUGAGCGGGGUCAACAUCAGUUUUGAUCGCUGGAAAAGGGCAGGAGGAAGGUAGCACUCUCGGGUGAACUUAUAGCCUCUUGUCGUAUACAGUGAUUGGGACUGAGGAACGCAGCAUGCCUUUUGGCCGGGAUUCGUCCACGUACAUGCUUAGGAUGUUGACAUAAUGGCUUUAAACGACCCGUCUUGA